UUACGGGAGGCAGCAGUGGGGAAUUUUGCGCAAUGGGGGAAACCCUGACGCAGCAACGCCGCGUGAGUGAUGAAGGCCUUCGGGUCGUAAAGCUCUGUCAGAGGGAAAGAAAUGCAGGGUGGCUAAUAACCGCUUUGCUUGACGGUACCCUCAAAGGAAGCACCGGCUAACUCCGUGCCAGCAGCCGCGGUAAUACGGAGGGUGCAAGCGUUGUUCGGAUUUAUUGGGCGUAAAGCGCGUGUAGGCGGUCUUUUAAGUCUGAUGUGAAAGCCCCGGGCUCAACCUGGGAAGUGCAUUGGAUACUGGGAGACUUGAGUACGGGAGAGGGUAGUGGAAUUCCCAGUGUAGGAGUGAAAUCCGUAGAUAUUGGGAGGAACACCGGUGGCGAAGGCGGCUACCUGGACCGAUACUGACGCUGAGACGCGAAAGCGUGGGGAGCAAACAGGAUUAGAUACCCCGGUAGUCCG
rnacentral:rRNA from 1 species